rnacentral:rRNA from 1 species
CCUCGGAGGCUGCAGUGGGGAAUAUUGGACAAUGGGCGAAAGCCUGAUCCAGCCAUGCCGCGUGUGUGAAGAAGGCCUUCGGGUUGUAAAGCACUUUCAGUGGGGAAGAAAGCCUUGGGGCUAAUACCCUCGAGGAAGGACAUCACCCACAGAAGAAGCACCGGCUAACUCCGUGCCAGCAGCCGCGGUAAUACGGAGGGUGCGAGCGUUAAUCGGAGUUACUGGGCGUAAAGCGCGCGUAGGCGGUCUGAUAAGCCGGUUGUGAAAGCCCCGGGCUCAACCUGGGAACGGCAUCCGGAACUGUCAGGCUAGAGUGCAGGAGAGGAAGGUAGAAUUCCCGGUGUAGCGGUGAAAUGCGUAGAGAUCGGGAGGAAUACCAGUGGCGAAGGCGGCCUUCUGGACUGACACUGACGCUGAGGUGCGAAAGCGUGGGUAGCAAACAGGAUUAGAUACCCGAGUAGUC